AGCAGCCGCGGUAAUUCCAGCUCCAAUAGCGUAUAUUAAAGUUGCUGUAGUUAAAAAGCUUGUAGUUGAAUUUCGGGACCAUCAUGUCGGUCGUGCCUCGGUACGUACUGGUAUUGUUGGUUUCUCCCUUCUGACGAACCAUGAUGUCAUUUAUUUGGUGUUGUGGGGAAUCAGGACUGUUACUUUGAAAAAAUUAGAGUGUUUAAAGCAGGCUCACGCUUGAAUACAUUAGCAUGGAAUAAUGAAAUAGGACGUUUGAUUCUAUUUUGUUGGUUUCUAGGAUCGACGUAAUGAUUAAUAGGGAUAGUUGGGGGCAUUAGUAUUCAAUUGUCAGAGGUGAAAUUCUUGGAUUUAUUGAAGACUAACUACUGCGAAAGCAUUUGCCAAGGAUGUUUUCAUUAAUCAAGAACGAAAGUUAGGGGAUCGAAGACGAUCAGAUACCGUCGUAGUCUUAACCAUAAACUAUGCCGACUAGGGAUCGGAUGAUGUUAAUUUUUAAUGACUCAUUCGGCGCCUUAAC
rnacentral:rRNA from 1 species